GAUGAACGCUGACAGCAUGCUUAACACAUCAGCAAUUGAUUGGUGGCGGACGGGUGAGUAACGCGUAAAGAACUUGCCUCACAGGUAGGGACAACAUUUGGAAACGAAUGCUAAUACCUAAUACUGUGAGAGAGCUUUGCGUCCCAUUAGCUAGUUGGAGAGGUAACGGCUCACCAAGGCGAUGAUGGGUAGCCGGACUGAGAGGGUGAUCGGGCACAAGGGGACUGAGACACGGCACGUACGCCUACGGGAGGCAGCAGUGGGGAAUAUUGGAAAAUGGACCAAAGUCUGAGCCAGCAAUUCGGUGUGCAAGAUGAAGUUGUCGGAAUGGAAAGUGCUGUCAGUUGGGAAGCGGUACCAACAGAAGAAGUGACGGCUAAAUACGUGCCAGCAGCCGCGGUAAUUC
rnacentral:rRNA from 1 species